rnacentral:rRNA from 1 species
GAUGAACGCUGGCGGCGUGCCUAAUACAUGCAAGUCGAGCGAACAGACGAGGAGCUUGCUCCUCUGACGUUAGCGGCGGACGGGUGAGUAACACGUGGAUAACCUACCUAUAAGACUGGGAUAACUUCGGGAAACCGGAGCUAAUACCGGAUAAUAUAUUGAACCGCAUGGUUCAAUAGUGAAAGACGGUUUUGCUGUCACUUAUAGAUGGAUCCGCGCCGCAUUAGCUAGUUGGUAAGGUAACGGCUUACCAAGGCAACGAUGCGUAGCCGACCUGAGAGGGUGAUCGGCCACACUGGAACUGAGACACGGUCCAGGCUCCUACGGGAGGCAGCAGUAGGGAAUCUUCCGCAGUGGGCGAGAGCCUGACGGAGCAACGCCGCGUGAGUGAUGAAGGUCUUCGGAUCGUAAAACUCUGUUAUUAGGGAAGAACAAAUGUGUAAGUAACUAUGCACGUCUUGACGGUACCUAAUCAGAAAGCCACGGCUAACUACGUG